rnacentral:rRNA from 1 species
UAAUACGUAGGUGACAAGCGUUAUCCGGAAUUACUGGGCGUAAAGCGCACGCAGGCGGCCGCUUAAGUCUGACGUGAAAUCUCCUGGCUUAACUGGGAGGGGUCGUUGGAAACUGAGUGGCUUGAGGCAGUGAGAGGGGUGUAGAAUUCCCGGUGUAGUGGUGGAAUGCGUAGAUAUCGGGAGGAAUACCAGAGGCGAAGGCGACACCCUGGCACUGGCCUGACGCUCAUGUGCGAAAGCGUGGGGAGCGAACGGG